UGGUUUGGGUGUGUGCCGGCAGAUGCUAGACCUGAUUACCUUGUUAGUGAUUUGACCUUAAUUCUUGUUUCUUAAUCAUUUGAGUGGUGUGAUUAGUGGUGCUUCCUAUUUUCAGCAGAUUAACAGUUGAGAUGGGGGACACAAAUUGAGCUAUUCUGUUGUUAGUCUCCAUAUACUCCAUCAUGAAAGCAAAAAAGCAAACACAUCAUGCAGAGCUGAGCUCAGAGUUUUACACUGGAUGCCCUUCCUGACACAACCCUGGCUUGGAACUGGCACUGCAUGCAGCACCUGGGUAUUAUGGGUUGUUCCAACCACCGAGGGUGGGGCUCGAACCUGGAUCUGCGGCAUUAGUGUGUAUAAAACCAUUCAAUAUUUCCAAACAUAACUUCAACAUGGAUAAUAGAUAAAUAAGAUUCACUGACUCAGUUGUUGACCCACAGAAAUGAAGCACAUUUUUGUCAAAUGCUUUUAGCUUUGGUUACAGCACACAGUGUUUUCCAGUUCAUGUGUGAAAAUGAACCACGUUUUUUAGAAUCUGAGUCUUGGAGGACAGCCGUGCCAUCAGGAAAGAAAAAAACUCCAUAGAUGUGAUGGCCUGGUUAUCCAGUACAUUUAGGUCAUCAGCUGACUUCAUUCUAUUGUCACAUAACGUUGCUGAGUCUCGACCUGAGUGACUGAAGCAACCCCAGA